GCCAGGUGUGGUGGCACGCACCUGUGAUCCCAGCUACUUGGGAGGCUGAGGUGAGAGGAUCACUCGAGCCCAGGAGGUUGAGGCUGCAGUGAGCUGUGGUUGCGUCACUGCACUCCAGCCUGGGUGACAGAGUGAGACCCUGUCUCAA
ensembl:misc_RNA Metazoa_SRP Metazoan signal recognition particle RNA